rnacentral:rRNA from 1 species
ACGAAGGGUGCAAGCGUUAGUCGGAAUUACUGGGCGUAAAGCGUGCGUAGGUGGUUUCUUAAGUCCGUUGUGAAAGCCCUGGGCUCAACCUGGGAACUGCAGUGGAUACUGGGAGGCUAGAGUGUGUCAGAGGAUGGUGGAAUUCCCGGUGUAGCGGUGAAAUGCGUAGAGAUCGGGAGGAACAUCAGUGGCGAAGGCGGCCAUCUGGGACAACACUGACGCUGAGGCACGAAAGCGUGGGGAGCAAACAGGA